UAGCCAACGUACUCUACUCCUG
rnacentral:siRNA from 1 species